AAUCAAGCGCGAGAAGGGCGUUUGGUGAAUGCCUUGGCAGUAAGAGGCGAUGAAGGACGUGAUACUCUGCGAUAAGUUACGGUUAGCUGAGAAUAGGCUUUGACCCGUAAAUUUCCGAAUGGGGCAACCCACCUGACAGUUUGAUAUAAUUACCCUCGGGUAGCUUAUAUCUUGCUGAAACAGGUACUUAUAGACUGAAUACAUAGGUUUAUAAGAGCAAACCCGGAGAACUGAAACAUCUAAGUACCCGGAGGAAAGGACAUCAAUUGAUACACCCCUAGUAGCGGCGAGCGAACGGGGACCAGCCGAGCCUUGAGUGUGAAGAGAACGUGUUGGGAAGCACGGCCAUAGUGGGUGAUAGCCCCGUAUAUGAAGCAUGAUAGGACGUAUUAAGUAGGGCGGAACACGUGAAAUUCUGUCUGAAGAUCGGAGGACCACCUUCGAAGGCUAAGUACUCCUU
rnacentral:rRNA from 1 species